rnacentral:rRNA from 1 species
UACGAAGGGGGCUAGCGUUGCUCGGAAUCACUGGGCGUAAAGGGUGCGUAGGCGGGUUUUUAAGUCAGGGGUGAAAUCCUGGAGCUCAACUCCAGAACUGCCUUUGAUACUGAAGAUCUUGAGUCCGGGAGAGGUGAGUGGAACUGCGAGUGUAGAGGUGAAAUUCGUAGAUAUUCGCAAGAACACCAGUGGCGAAGGCGGCUCACUGGCCCGGUACUGACGCUGAGGCGCGAAGGCCAGGGGAGCAAACGGG